AUUGAACGCUGGCGGCAGGCCUAACACAUGCAAGUCGAACGAGUGGCGGACGGGUGAGUAAUGGCUGGGAAACUGCCCGAUGUAGGGGGAUAACUACUGGAACCGGUAGCUAAUACCGCAUACCAUCGGAUGUGCCCAGAUGGGAUUAGCUAGUCGGUGGGGUAACGGCUCACCUAGGCGACGAUCCCUAGCUGGUCUGAGAGGAUGACCAGCCACACUGGAACUGAGACACGGUCCAGACUCCUACGGGAGGCAGCAGUGGGGAAUAUUGCGCAAUGGACGCAAGUCUGAUGCAGCCAUGCCGCGUGUAUGAAGAAGGCCUUCGGGUUGUAAAGCACUUUCAGUGGGGAGGCGUUACUCGCAGAGGAAGCACCGGCUAACUCCGUGCCAGCCGCCGCGGUAAUUC
rnacentral:rRNA from 1 species